rnacentral:rRNA from 1 species
ACACAUGCAAGUCGAACGGUCUUUUCGGAGAUAGUGGCGGACGGGUGAGUAACGCGUAAGAAUCUACCUUCAGGUUGGGGACAACCACUGGAAACGGUGGCUAAUACCCAAUGUGCCGAGAGGUGAGAGGCUUGCUGCCUGAAGAAGAGCUUGCGUCUGAUUAGCUAGUUGGUGGGGUAAGAGCCUACCAAGGCGACGAUCAGUAGCUGGUCUGAGAGGAUGAUCAGCCACACUGGGACUGAGACACGGCCCAGACUCCUACGGGAGGCAGCAGUGGGGAAUUUUCCGCAAUGGGCGAAAGCCUGACGGAGCAAUACCGCGUGAGGGAGGAAGGCUCUUGGGUUGUAAACCUCUUUUCUCAGGGAAGAACAAAAUGACGGUACCUGAGGAAUAAGCAUCGGCUAACUCCGUGCCAGCAGCCGCGGUAAUACGGAGGAUGCAAGCGUUAUCCGGAAUGAUUGGGCGUAAAGGGUCCGCAGGUGGCAUUGUAAGUCUGCUGUUAAAGAGUUUGGCUCAACCAAAUAAAAGCAGUGGAAACUACAAAGCUAGAGUGUGGUCGGGGCAGAGGGAAUUCCUGGUGUAGCGGUGAAAUGCGUAGAUAUCAGGAAGAACACCGGUGGCGAAGGCGCUCUGCUAGGCCAAGACUGACACUGAGGGACGAAAGCUAGGGGAGCGAAUGGGAUUAGAUACCCCAGUAGUCCUAGCCGUAAACGAUGGAUACUAGGCGUAGCUCGUAUCGACCCGAGCUGUGCCGUAGCUAACGCGUUAAGUAUC